rnacentral:rRNA from 1 species
GACGAACGCUGGCGGCGUGCUUAACACAUGCAAGUCGAGCGGUAAGGCCCUUUCGGGGGUACACGAGCGGCGAACGGGUGAGUAACACGUGGGUGACCUGCCCUCCAGCUCUGGGAUAAGCCUGGGAAACCGGGUCUAAUACUGGAUAUGACUCCAUGACGCAUGUUGUGGGGUGGAAAGCCUUGUGCGGCCGAGGAUGGGCCCGCGGCCUAUCAGCUUGUUGGUGGGGUGAUGGCCUACCAAGGCGACGACGGGUAGCCGGCCUGAGAGGGCGACCGGCCACACUGGGACUGAGACACGGCCCAGACUCCUACGGGAGGCAGCAGUGGGGAAUCUUGCGCAAUGGGCGAAAGCCUGACGCAGCGACGCCGCGUGAGGGAUGACGGCCUGGUGUAAC